rnacentral:misc_RNA from 1 species
UACAUUUAUGCUACUUGGCAAAUAAAAUAGGGGGCCUUCCUUUUUCCCUUUUGGAAGUGCAAAGGUCAUGAUAAUCGAAUUCAUUGAUGAUGGCUGUAAAGUGGAUGGUCUGUAGGAUCGGCUGCAUUCUUUUCCUUCUGCUGAUUUUAAAGAAACGCGAAUCUAAAGAAAAACAUUUCAUUUAAAAAUUUAUUUGGCAAAAGUAUAAAAAGAUAAUAUAUUCCAGAAAUUAUAAUAUCAUGAUUACUCCGUCAGCGGUGUUUCUAGCUUCUGCAAUUUUGUCUUUGAGAUUCUGUAAUUUUGUAGUUAACGUAUCGUUCCAUUUAUCAAAUUCAUUUUUCCUUUUUACAGCGGCAUUUGAUAAACUUAUUAAUUUUGCAUCUACUUUUUUCAUGUUACUCAGUGCUUCUGUCACUGAAAUUUUUCGCUGGCUAAACUGAUUUCGGAAUCGCCUUCUCUUUUUAAAUCGUACAAUUUUGGUUUUAAUAUAUUAACAAUCCCUUCUUUGUAAUCUCCAAUAAGUUUCUGCGAGGUUUUAAUACUUUCUAACACCUUGUCGUUGUCGUUUAAUAUAAUUUCAACAUUUUCACGCACUAA